rnacentral:rRNA from 1 species
GACGAACGCUGGCGGCGUGCUUAACACAUGCAAGUCGAGCGGUAAGGCCCUUUCGGGGGUACACGAGCGGCGAACGGGUGAGUAACACGUGGGUGACCUGCCCUCAGCUCUGGGAUAAGCCCGGGAAACUGGGUCUAAUACCGGAUAUGACUCCAUGACGCAUGUUGUGGGGUGGAAAGCCUUGUGCGGCUGAGGAUGGGCCCGCGGCCUAUCAGCUUGUUGGUGGGGUGAUGGCCACCAAGGCGACGACGGGUAGCCGGCCUGAGAGGGCGACCGGCCACACUGGGACUGAGAUACGGCCCAGACUCCUACGGGAGGCAGCAGUGGGGAAUCUUGCGCAAUGGGCGAAAGCCUGACGCAGCGACGCCGCGUGAGGAUGACG